AACAAUAAUUAAAUAAGUCUUUCUACGUACGUUUACUUUUGGUACAAAAGUAUAUUUUGAUGGUAAUACUUUUGUACUUUUACUUAAGUUUUUGAAUGCAGGACUUUUACUAACAGAGUAUUUCUACACUGUAGUAUUACUACUUUUACAUCUUCCACCACUGCACCUGAAUACAUACACAAAAACACAUUCCUUCUACGUCAUGACGUUUCCUGGUUAUUUCCCGAGCACCUGAAGGCAGCACACUGUGUCUCGGGGUCAGCAGGGGGAGCUCAUGUUUCACGUCUGAAGGCUCAUGUUGGUCCAGUUGCAGUUCCCUGAUGUAGAAGGGCCUUCAGCAGCUGUUUAGCUUUACACAUUGAACACGGUAUUUUACAGCAUUACAUGUUUCUCAGCCUUGAGCUCCUCACAUUGUUCCAAGUGGCAGAGAAUCAAAAUGCCACAAGCCUCGCACAUUUUAUCUUGUAUUUCCUUAAAUCCACGAGGAAUAAUACGUUGAUAUUAAUCUAGGCAGAGAAUAAGCUUGGAUGUCAGAGGCGUUCUGUCCUGACAAUAGAUGCAACAAUGCGUCAGUGUGACUCCACUGAUAAGCUGCUGCUCAGCGAGGCUGAAUUGAUCCCGCAGCAGAAACACUUUCGAUGUUUUCCUGUGGGGUUACAACACACAGGUUCCUCUUUCUCUGCCUGACACAAAACAACACUUUGUGCCGCUCUGCUCCAUAUAAUAAAUGGCCACAGUCUAAAGUGGUUAGUUACAGUGUUGCUGUGGAAAGGUCAACGAUCCUGUGAUGUGGAUCGCAGUGUAUUAUCCUCAUUGUGCUCAGUGAGAGAUGAAGUGCAGGCAGGGAGCACCGCUGUCUCAGUUUCGUCAAACUGUGACUCGUUUCGGAUUAAACAACAAGACGUCCACACAGCCUACUGUUGUUUGGAUCAGCUGCAACUGGGUUCAUCGCACUCACUGUGUGGCGGAGCCGCGUGUCGUGCAUGGCAGCAGCUCAUCUCACUGAAGCUUCACGAUAAUGUGGAGGUCAAACAC
rnacentral:lncRNA from 1 species